rnacentral:rRNA from 1 species
GGGCGUAAAGAGCUCGUAGGCGGUUUGUCGCGUCUGCUGUGAAAAUCCAAGGCUCAACCUUGGACCUGCAGUGGGUACGGGCAGACUAGAGUGCGGUAGGGGAGAUGGGAAUUCCUGGUGUAGCGGUGGAAUGCGCAGAUAUCAGGAGGAACACCAAUGGCGAAGGCACAUCUCUGGGCCGUAACUGACGCUGAGGAGCGAAAGCGUGGGGAGCGAACAGGAUUAGAUACCCUGGUAGUCCACGCCGUAAACGGUGGGUGCUAGUUGUGGGCCACAUUCCACGUGGUCCGUGACGAAGUUAACACAUUAAGCACCCCGCCUGGGGAGUACGGUCGCAAGACUAAAACUCAAAGGAAUUGACGGGGGCCCGCACAAGCGGCGGAGCAUGCGGAUUAAUUCGAUGCAACGCGAAGAACCUUACCAAGGCUUGACAUAUAGAGGAAACGUGCAGAAAUGUACGCCCCGCAAGGCCUCUAUACAGGUGGUGCAUGGUUGUCGUCAGCUCGUGUCGUGAGAUGUUGGGUUAAGUCCCGCAACGAGCGCAACCCUCGUCCUAUGUUGCCAGCACGUAAUGGUGGGAACUCAUGGGAGACUGCCGGGGUCAACUCGGAGGAAGGU